rnacentral:rRNA from 1 species
CAGUCGCCGCGGGAAUACGGAGGAGGCUAGCGUUGUUCGGAAUUACUGGGCGUAAAGCGCACGUAGGCGGCUUGGUAAGUUAGAGGUGAAAGCCCAGGGCUCAACCCUGGAAUUGCCUUUAAGACUGCCGAGCUAGUAGGUGAGAGAUGUGAGUGGAAUUCCGAGUGUAGAGGUGAAAUUCGUAGAUAUUCGGAAGAACACCAGUGGCGAAGGCGGCUCACUGGCUCAUUCUAGACGCUGAGGUGCGAAAGCGUGGGGAGCAAACAGGAUUAGAUACCCGCGUAGUCCCUGUCUCUUAUAC